rnacentral:rRNA from 1 species
GAUGAACGCUGGCGGCAUGCCUAAAACAUGCAAGUCGAGCGGUAAGGCCCCUUCGGGGGUACACGAGCGGCGGACGGGUGAGUAACGCGUGGGAAUCUACCCCAAACUGAGGGAUAAGCAUUGGAAACGAUGUCUAAUACCGCAUAUGGUCUUCGGAUUAAAGCUUCGGCGGUUUGGGAAGAGCCCGCGUAAGAUUAGCUAGUUGGUGAGGUAAAGGCUCACCAAGGCGACGAUCUUUAACUGGUUUGAGAGGAUGAUCAGUCACACUGGAACUGAGACACGGUCCAGACUCCUACGGGAGGCAGCAGUUAGGAAUUUUCCACAAUGGGCGAAAGCCUGAUGGAGCAAUGCCGCGUGCAGGAUGAAGGCCCUAGGGUUGUAAACUGCUUUUAUACGUGAAGAAU